UACGGAGGGGGCUAGCGUUGUUCGGAAUUACUGGGCGUAAAGCGCACGUAGUCGGCUUUGUAAGUUAGAGGUGAAAGCCCGGAGCUCAACUCCGGAAUUGCCUUUAAGACUGCAUCGCUAGAAUUGUGGAGAGGUGAGUGGAAUUCCGAGUGUAGAGGUGAAAUUCGUAGAUAUUCGGAAGAACACCAGUGGCGAAGGCGACUCACUGGACACAUAUUGACGCUGAGGUGCGAAAGCGUGGGGAGCAAACAGG
rnacentral:rRNA from 1 species